AUUUUGGUCGUGGCCUGGUUAAAAAAUACUUCACUGUUAUAGAAUUGGGUUAAAAUAAAAAAGACCCAUACUGUAAUGCCUUUGGUUUGAAUUUUAUUUUAUGCUAGAUUUAUGUUACAUUGCUCGGUUCUGUUCUUGUAGCCCCUAUCAGUGGAAUUGGGACCUGGAAUUCUUGGAAAUGUUUUUGAUGGAAUUCAGAGACCCCUGAAAACUAUUGCUAUUAGAUCUGGAGAUGUCUACAUUCCUCGUGGAGUUUCGGUCCCUGCUCUUGACAAGGAUGCACUGUGGGAGUUCGAGCCGAAGAAGUUAGCUGUUGGAGAUCUCCUCACUGGUGGAGAUUUAUAUGCUGUCAGUAUUUCUGGUCUUGUGUUCACAUAUUAUCCUGUUUGUACUCAUUUUUGUUCAAUGAUCUAACACUUAGAAGUAAACUCUGUUUUUUUUU